AUUGAACGCUGGCGGAAUGCUUUACACAUGCAAGUCGAACGGCAGCACGGACUUCGGUCUGGUGGCGAGUGGCGAACGGGUGAGUAACAUAUCUGAACGUGUCCAAUAAUGGGGGAUAACUAAUCGAAAGGUUGGCUAAUACCGCAUACGCCCUACGGGGGAAAGCAGGGGAUCUUCGGACCUUGCGUUAAUGGAGCGGCUGAUAUCUGAUUAGCUAGUUGGUGAGGUAAAGGCUCACCAAGGCGACGAUCAGUAGCUGGUCUGAGAGGACGACCAGCCACACUGGAACUGAGACACGGUCCAGACUCCUACGGGAGGCAGCAGUGGGGAAUUUUGGACAAUGGGCGCAAGCCUGAUCCAGCCAUUCCGCGUGAGUGAAGAAGGCCUUCGGGUUGUAAAGCUCUUUCGCAAGGGAAGAAAACUUACUUUCUAAUAAAGAGUGAGGUUGAUGGUACCUUGAUAAGAAGCACCGGCUAACUACGUGCCAGCCGCCGCGGUAA
rnacentral:rRNA from 1 species